rnacentral:lncRNA from 1 species
AAUUAGUCAAUUUAUGUUUCAAUAAUUCUGCAUAGUAGUCUCCAAAAUCUCAGUAGCUUACAACACCAGCAUUUUUUUUUCCUUUUCUUUUUUUUUUUGUUUUUUGGUACACAGAUCUGUGGAGUGGCUGCAGCACCUGUGUUUCAGCCUGAAGAAUGGGCACAGAUAUUUCAUGAUUCUGAAGAAGAAUUGGAGGUGAGACUUGAGAAAAUGGAGAAAAAGAUUGUUGCAGAGGCUUCCUAA